GGAUAUGAGAAUGAUCUAUGACAUUUGCUACCUCAUUGAUCACCAGUGUUAAUUUGACUGGCCUGUCUGGUUAAGCAGGUGUCCCCUUCCUCCCUUACUGGUUCAUGUGUGUUCCUCCUGAAACUGUGCACUCAAUAAGAAGAUGACCUUCCCACAACAGAAAAGGGUACCAAGUAGCUACACUCCCAUGCUAGAACCUCCAAACAAGCUUCCAUGACACAAGUAAAAAUGCAAUGAGUGCUUACUUGUUCUCAAAAAAACUAUCUGAUAUGUU
rnacentral:snRNA from 1 species